GAUGAACGCUGGCGGCGUGCCUAACACAUGCAAGUCGAACGGACAGACGAGACGCUUGCUUGUUUCAUGUUAGCGGCGCGCGGGUGAGUAACACGUGUAUAACCUACCUAUAAGACGGGGAUAACUUCGUGAAACCGUAGCUAAUACCGGAUAAUAUUUUGAACCGCAUUGUGCGGAAGUGAAAGACGGUCUUGCUGUCACUUAUAGAUGGAUCCGCGCUGCAUUAGCUAGUUGGUAAGGUAACGGCUUACCAAGGCAACGAUGCAUAGCCGAACUGAGAGGGUGAUCGGCCACACUGGAACUGAGACACGGUCCAGACUCCUACGGGAGGCAGCAGUAGGGAAUAUUGCGCAAUGGGCGCAAGCCUGACGGAGCAACGCCGCGUGUGUGAUGAAGGUCUUCGGAUCGUAAAACUCUGUUAUCAGGGAAGAACAGAUGUGUAAGUAAACGUGCACAUAUUGACGGUACCUACUCAAAAAGCACCGGCUAACUACGUG
rnacentral:rRNA from 1 species